ensembl:lincRNA
UGAUAACAUUAACACCUUUGUUUUACACACUUGGAAAUAAUUGAUUGUUUUACAGUUUUCAUUUUUUAAUUCUGUAUCAGUGUAUUUGGUCAUUAACUGGCAUUAAAUCAUAAAGAGAGAGACUAAACUUUACAGAUUAAUAAUUGUCGCAUAAAGGAAAAAAAUAUUCAGCGGGCUGCCCUCGGUACAGACUGCCCACGCGCCUGCUGAGGGAGGGGGAGAGAAGUAAAAGUUUAUCAUUUUCAUAAAUUCAUAACGAUGGUCAAGUCUCAAUUAAACAACAUAAAACGUUUAAUGAAAACGUUUUACAAUAGUCAUUUACCCGAACAGUGAUUAAUGCGUCUUCAUUUAAAACACAAAAGACCGGGCGCCUUGGACGCUCGAGACUGCUUCAUUAUAAUUAAUGUCUCCGGUUCCUCGUGCACCCGGAGGUCGCGAAUAGCUCCGUCCCGCGCCCACUGAUCUCUGAAGAUCUGACACGAGAGGGAUCUCGCCGGCUAUUGCAACCUGACAAGAUCUGUAAUACUUGGGUGAUGAAUCGUUCCAAACUUUUUUGACGAUGCUGGCAGCUCGGGGCUGUGCGCAUGUGCGAAGGUGUCCAAACUGACAAUGCUGGAGAGAUAGUGCGUCUGGGAUUGAGAAUCACAGAGAAAAAGGACAGAGGAAAAAAGAAAAAGGAGGAAAAGAUUCGAGAAAAAAUCCGACGAACCCACGCCGAAAGACGGGCAUCAUGAGGUCCAAAGGCAGGGCAAGGAAACUGACCACUGGAGAUGGAGAGGACUUUUCUGUUUUUGCCUCUGAUGACCUGGAAGAAAUUGGUGGAGUGUCUGAUGCAGAUCUGCUCCCAUUGGCCCCUGUUGAUGAUCUUCCCUCUCCCGGCCUAUCGGGUGAUGCGGUUUCCCCAGUCACCCCUUCUCCCUACUACCCAUCGUUCCACACUUCAAUGUACCAACCCAACGAUGCGGUCGAAGCGGUUCCCCCAGACUUUGAGCUCCGUGAGUCUGCCGCUUUCAGAGGAAACCUGGGUGUCUGGACCCGCAGGAGACUGGAGGUGGGAGAACGUCUGGGACCCGAUGAGGGAACGUCAAGACACAGCCUGGAAAACGCCACCCAGGGAUGGGAGGGUGAACAGGCAGGUUUGGAUGGGAGCGUGUGUGAUAGCAGGAGCUGGCUAAGGCACGUCCAGAUCUCACCAUCCACCCACCAACACAACCUCACAGCCUGCCAGAUACAUGAGCAGGUAUGUGGAGAACGCACACACACAAACACACACAUGCACUCAGAGCACCUGCAUGGUGGAUAUAAUGAAGUGUUUAAAGGUGUUUCUGCUAUCUUUAAUAGCAGAUUCCUGCCGCAUUCUCGCUCUGUGCGUGUGUCACUGUGUUUUGGUGUUUUGCUCUUUUGUAUCUUGGCUGAAGCGUGAAGGACCACAGGCCAGGAUCACACACACACUCUCUCGGUCAAGCAUGAGGAUAAUCACACAUUUUGUAUCUUUGCACUCGGAUAUGGGGGACGACAAAUUCCUGAAUCCUUACGGAGUGAAAGACAGAGAAAGAGACUCUGAGAGAGAAAAUUACAUCCAUACAUUCACAGCUUUUGUUCUAUGACUUAUUUGCACACAACAACUUAUUUGCACUUUAGCUGAUUGCUCUUUAAGGGUCAAAUAAUUUCUUCAAGGUUAGGUUUUACUCACUUUGGCAUGUUUUAUAGUUAAACUAUUGAAAUGUUUACAACUGAGAACUUUUUAUGCUCGCAUUUGAGGAGAAACUGGAUUAAAUGAAGUUUCAUUGAGUUAUAGUGAACUGAGUUUUGGUGGAUUAAAUUGAGUAAAGAGGGUUAAGUCAAGUUGAGUUGGGUUGAGCUGGAUUAAACCUACUUUUAUUGACUUGAGUUGAACUGGAAUUAAUUUAGAGAAAAUCUACUUUAUACAUUUUUGGCCUUUACGCUUGCAUGUGAGGGACUGCAAAUUUCUAAAUCAUUAUGAAAUGAAAGACUGAUCUUGAAAGAAUUAAACUUUUGGUUCACAUUGGAGGAAAAACAAGUAGUCAGACUGGAUUAAAUAGAGUUUUGUUGAUUUAUAGUUAAGUGAGUUUGACUGGAUUCAUUUAGAUUGUAAACCGUAUUGAAUCUAAAUUGAAUUGUCAAUAAAUCAACUUCCUUUUAUCUGGAGAUAACUGAGUUAAAUAGGUUUAAGUCAAGUUGAGCUGGAUUAAACAUACUUUCAUUGAGUUGAGUUGGACUGGAAUUAAUUUAGAGAAAAUCUAUUAUACAUUUUGGGCCUUUACACUUGCAUGUGAGGGACUGCAAAUUCCUAAAUCAUUAUGAACUGAAAGACUGAUCUUGGGAAUAAGGUUUUAUCCCAUUCUGGACACAGAGUUUGAUUGUUUCCUCAUUAAGGGUUUUUUAUUUUGGUAUGUAAAAAGGAUCAAUUAUUAACAUUUACAAUUAAACAUUUGCUUUUUGUUCACAUUGGAGGAAAAACAAGAAGUCAAACUGGAUUAAACAGAGUUUCAUUGACUUAUAGUGAAGUGAGUUUGACUUGUUUCAGUUAGAUUGUAAACUGUAUUGAAUAAAAAUUGAAGUAGGAAUAAAUUGACUUUCUGUGAUCUGGAGUAAACUGAGUUGAAUAGGGUUAAGUGAAGCUGAGCUGAGUUCAGUUCAAAUGAGCUGAGCUGGAUUAAAUCUACUACUUUAAUCUAAAUCUGGAUUUAAUCUACUCUUCUACUUUUUUUGAGUUGAGUUGGACUGGAAUUAAACGGACUGGCAUAAAUUCUGAGACAAAAUGUUGUAUCUUUGCACUGGGAUAUAUAAGGGUUGAUAAAUUCCUAAAUCCUUUAAAACUGUGGCAAUUCAGAUUCAGAGCUUAUCUGUAACAUUUACUGAUUAAAUGAUUCCCGCAAGGUUAUUUUGUGAAAAUGUGUGCAUGUUUUAAAUGCUAAAUUAGUUUACCUAAUAAAAUGUAAAAGCUUUUUGUGUUCAUAUUUGAGAAAAGAGUAAGUAGUCAAACUGAGUUUCACUGAGCACUCAACAAAAUGAUGAUAAUAUUUUUUGCUGCUUGUUAAAAAACUACUUACUUAGAAUGAGCUGAAACAACACAAUUCCUGAGAUUUUUGGGGACAACUUAAUUGUUUUAUGUUCAAUUCACUUAAGUCUGUCAAAAACAUUUAACUUAACUUAAUUGGUUUGUGUUGGGACAACAUUAAUGAAUAUUGCGGAAGCCUGCAUUUUUUACAGUGAGUGUUGACUAAAUUCAAUUGCAAACUCAGUUCUUUAAACUUAUUCAGAAAUUCAUUGAAUUGAAUUGAAAUUGGAAUAUAUUGAGUAAAAAAAGGGUCCAAUUGCACUUUGUAAAACUACUUAUUUAGAAUGAGACGAGGAUUUUAGUCGAGUUUAGUUGAGUUUGACUUUAGUAUAAGUUUUAUCCGUUAUUCUGUAAGUUGCAAAAUAGGGCUGUACACAUCAGCAAUAGUCACAAUGUUGAGGUGGGAUUAUAGUUGACUAAGAGCCACAGUUGAGUUGACACAAAAUUUAUGGGUUCAUUGCAAAGUUUGACCAUAAAGUUACCCAAAAACAUUAUCAUGUUUAUGUGUUUUUAAGAUUGUGUAAGAAUUUAAAGCAUUCAGGCACAAGAAAUUACAUCCUGUAUGUAACUUUAAGAAAGAUUCAUUGUAUUUACUGUAAGUGUAUAUAUACUACAAAAAUUAUUUUACAGUUGAUUAUUCAAUUUCUGUGCCUGAAUACUCAUAGACUCCCAGAAAAACACUGUGGUGGUGGUGGUGGUGGUGGUGUUUUUUUAUUUGUAUCUUUGCUCAGCUGAUUUGAUCAAUGCUCAUGAUUGGUUUAUUCAAAGAUAUCUUUUGGCAAUUCGUAACUAAUUGAUUUAGUCAAAUUUGUAGGAUCUCAUUCAUACAAUUUAGUAAACUCAAAAAAACUGAUUUUGCUGCUUGUUUAAAUUUUUAAAUUGUUUUUGUGACAACUUAAUUGUUUUAUUUUUAGUCCACUUAAAUUUGUUAAUCGAUUUGUGUUGAGACAACCUGAAUAAAUUGUGUGACAUCCUACAUUUUUUACAAUGUAUGAUUUGCUCAUCUUCCAAUGACGGUUGGGUUUAGGGGAGGGGUUUGGUUUUUCGUGAACACAUAAAUUAAUUCAUUCUUUUUCCUUCAGCUUACUCCCUUUAUUCAUCAAGGGUCACCACAGCGGAAUGAACCGCCAACUUAUCCAGCAUAUGUUUUACACACCUAAUACCCUUCCAGCUGCAACCCAAUACUGGGAAACUGAACUCAUAUAAAUUUGUCCAAAUUUAUCCACUAAACUGACAAAACCUAAAAUAGUUACAUUUCCUCAUGAGAUCAGGCUGGUUUAUCAUAUUUUAAUCAUCCUAAUCGAUGUAAAAUGAGCAAUUCUUUCCAAAUAGCACUAUUCACGUCAUCAGAUGAAAUUAUAUUCAAUAUCCCAAAAUUUGCUGAAAAACAAAUAUUGCAUUGCAUAUGCAUUUUUUCCAAUAUCAUGCUGCCCUAUUAUAAAAUGAAUAGUCAUACGAUCCAUACAUACUAUCCGGAUUAUAUUGGCAAUAUCAAACUAUUCUGAAUACUGUAUGUUAAUCAUACAGUGAGAUAUUCAAUCAUUAUGAAAUUAACUUAUUAUAUUCCUGUCCAUAACAAGGGCUCUGGAAGCAAUUAUAUAUAUCCAUAUUCAGCUUUUGCAAAGUGAGAUGCGCUAACGGAAUUAGCUUAAACUGUGGAUCAGUCCCAAGUGUUUUCGAUGUUUGACAGGCUGACGAGUGACGGAAAAGCAGGACAAUGCCAUUUCUGGGAGGUCUGAAUUUUCUACAUAUUUGACUCUAAAGGUUUACAUAAAGAGCAACUAGAUGAGAGGGAGGAAGAGAACCUGUUCAGACACAGCAUUAUGAUAUGGGACAUAAUUGUUAAACUAUGACACCUUGUCAUAACAAAGAGUUCAGCUUAGACUUUAUGGCUUCCGGCAACCCACAUGUUUUUAUAAUCACGCCGUAGCUCUUUAUAGACACAAAAACCUGCAGAGGGAGAGAGAUACAAAAGACGCACCGCUAUCGCUUUUCUGAAAGAACAGAGAAUUGGUUGAGAGGAAUGUGCUCUUCUUUUCCUAAUUUUCCAUUUACAACAUUCCUUAAAAGGGGAAUUCACCCAAAAAUGACAAUUCAGUCAUCAUUUGCUCACUCUUUCCUUGUUGUGAACCUGUUUCUUUCCUCUGUUGAACACAAAAGACGCAGUUUUGGAAAAUGUUUAGCAUUGACGACCAUAGUACAUGUUUUUUUUCUACUAUGGAACUCAAUGGUUACCCAUUUCUAACGUUCUUCAAAAUAUCUGCUUUUAUGUUCAGCACAAAAGAGAAACGCAUAAAUAUUUGGAAUCGCUUGAGAGUGAGUACACUUUCAUUUCACGAUGAACUGUCCCUUUAAGAUGUUGAAGAGUUUUAGAAGAAUUUACUAUUUUGAUGUUAAACCAUUCAAACAAUAAAGAAUUUCGAUUCUCUGGAAGUGAAGUAUAAGUUAACUCUCAUAAUGCAUUCAGGUGUGUUAUUAACAAGAGAUAUAUUUAAAUAAAAAUAAAAAAAACACACAUUUUAGGAGAAAAAGAUAACUUUAUUUCUUUUUUAAAUACACAACUUUUUAUUUAAAAAUCAUAAAAACAUAUAUUCAUUCAUUCAUUUUCUUGUCGACUUAGUCCCUUUAUUAAUCCGGGGUCGCCACAGCGGAAUGAACCGCCAACUUAUCCAGCAAGUUUUUAUGCAGCGGAUGCCCUUCCAGCCGCAACCCAUCACUGGAAAACAUCCACACACUCAUACACGGACAAUUUAGCCUACCCAAUUCACCUGUACCGCAUGUCUUUGGACUGUGGGGGAAACCGGAACACCCGGAGGAAACCCACACAAACGCAGGGAGAAGAUGCAAACUCCACACAGAAACGCCAACUCAGCCGAGGCUCAAACCAACGACCCAGCGACCUUCUUGCUGUGAGGCGACAGCACAACCUACUGCGCCACUGCUUUGCCCUAAAAACAUAUAUUAAAAAUUAUUAUUUGUUAUCCAAGUUAUAU